rnacentral:rRNA from 1 species
CCUCUCCUACGGGGACGCAGCAGUGGGGAAUAUUGGGCAAUGGGCGCAAGCCUGACCCAGCACCACCGCGUGAAGGAAGAAGGCUUUCGGGUUGUAAACUUCUUUUCUGAGGGACGAAGAAAGUGACGGUACCUCAGGAAUAAGCCACGGCUAACUACGUGCCAGCAGCCGCGGUAAUACGUAGGUGGCAAGCGUUAUCCGGAUUUAUUGGGUGUAAAGGGCGUGUAGGCGGGAAUGCAAGUCAGAUGUGAAAA